rnacentral:lncRNA from 1 species
CUUCCCGGCAUCCCCUGCGCGCGCCUGCGCGCUCGGUGACCUUUCCGAGUUGGCUGCAGAUUUGUGGUGCGUUCUGAGCCGUCUGUCCUGCGCCAAGAUGCUUCAAAGUAUUAUUAAAAACAUAUGGAUCCCCAUGAAGCCCUACUACACCAAAGUUUACCAGGAGAUUUGGAUAGGAAUGGGGCUGAUGGGCUUCAUCGUUUAUAAAAUCCGGGCUGCUGGUACGUUUCCUUAUGUUUGAUUUUUCUGAGGUCAGGAAGAAAAUUAUUUUCAAAAAGAAUCACAAUUCACAUUGUAAAGGAACUAUGGGUUCUAACUAGGUAUGAACAUUAGAGCUACCUACAGUCCUUCGUAAAAAAUACAGGGAGCACAUGUCAGCUAUAAAAGACAUUUGGGGACAGUGGGGAAUUUUUUUUUUCUUUUCUUUUCUUUUUUUUUUUUUUUUUUUUGGAGACAGUCUCUCACUCUGACGCCCAGGCUGGAGUGCAAUGGCACGAUCAUGGUUCACUGCAGCCUCCACCUCCUA